rnacentral:rRNA from 1 species
AUGGCCGGCGAGUCUGCCUCGGCGGCAAGGAAAGGGAAGAGGGUAGGGAAGACACGGCGUGCCCCUUUCGGCAAGAUCAAUUCCAGCUCUGGGAGCGGCGAUGCCGGGAGCCAGGGGUCAUCGGAGAAGGGAGUUACGGGCGCCAAUCAGAAGGGCUCAUCAUCAUCCGCGAAGAGGAGGAAGUCCGGCGCUACAAAUACAGAAGGUGAGCCAUCUCAGGCUGCCACAGUGCAGAAUGUUGUAACCGAGCCGCCAUUGGAAGACAAGGAGAUGUCUGCAUCCAAACUGUUGGUUUUGGCACCUGGGAGGGCGGCACUCACCAGUGCUGCACCAAACUUGAAUAUUGGGACGGAUCCCUUGAGCGCUUCUCCAUCCUCCUUAGUACAGGGGGAGGAUGAACGGGAACUGAAGAGGGAGAGAAGGAAACAAUCCAACAGAGAGUCUGCAAGGAGAUCAAGAUUACGCAAACAGCAAGAAUGCGAAGAGCUAGCCCAGAAGGUAAGUGAGCUGACCGCAGCGAACGGCACGCUCAGAUCAGAACUCGACCAGCUUAAGGACUGCAAAACCAUGGAAACAGAAAAUAAACAACUGAUGGGUAAAAUACUAAGUCAUGAUGAUAAAAUGCAGCAGUCAGAGGGCCCUAGCAUUGUGACUACCCUGAGCAUCCAGGUCGAAUCGCCCGAGCCGCAUCCAGUCCCUGUAGUAGAGCACCUGCUGCCUCAAACUUCGGAGAAGAUGUGCACGAAUGGCUGUUUUGGUCGCAGGUUACUCCAAGAAGAAGUAGCUAGAAUGCCCAUGUAUUGGUGCAUACAGAUUGGCGAUUGGAAGUUUUUUGAAGGUUAG